CCUACGGGAGGCAGCAGUCGAGAAUCAUUCACAAUGGGGGAAACCCUGAUGGGGCGACGCCGCGUGGGGGAAUGAAGGUCUUCGGAUUGUAAACCCCUGUCAUGUGGGAGCAAAUUAAAAAGAUAGUACCACAAGAGGAAGAGACGGCUAACUCUGUGCCAGCAGCCGCGGUAAUACAGAGGUCUCAAGCGUUGUUCGGAAUCACUGGGCGUAAAGCGUGCGUAGGCUGUUUCGUAAGUCGUGUGUGAAAGGCGCGGGCUCAACCCGCGGACGGCACGUGAUACUGCGAGACUAGAGUAAGGGAGGGGGAACCGGAAUGCUCGGUGUAGCAGUGAAAUGCGUAGAUAUCGAGAGGAACACUCGUGGCGAAGGCGGGUUCCUGGACAUUAACUGACGCUGAGGCACGAAGGCCAGGGGAGCGAAAGGGAUUAGAUACCCCAGUAGUC
rnacentral:rRNA from 1 species